rnacentral:rRNA from 1 species
AUUGCCCUAGUAACGGCGAGUGAAGCGGCAACAGCUCAAAUUUGAAAUCUGGCCUCGGCCCGAGUUGUAAUUUGCAGAGGAAGCUUUAGGCGCGGCACCAACUGAGUCCCCUGGAACGGGGCGCCAUAGAGGGUGAGAGCCCCGUAUAGUUGGACGCCUAGCCUGUGUAAAGCUCCUUCGACGAGUCGAGUAGUUUGGGAAUGCUGCUCAAAAUGGGAGGUAAAUUUCUUCUAAAGCUAAAUACCGGCCAGAGACCGAUAGCGCACAAGUAGAGUGAUCGAAAGAUGAAAAGCACUUUGAAAAGAGGGUUAAAUAGCACGUGAAAUUGUUGAAAGGGAAGCGCUUGUGACCAGACUUGCGCCGGGCGGAUCAUCCGGUGUUCUCACCGGUGCACUCCGCCCGGCUCAGGCCAGCAUCGGUUCUCGCGGGGGGAUAAAGGUCCCGGGAACGUAGCUCCUCCGGGAGUGUUAUAGCCCGGGGCGUAAUGCCCUCGCGGGGACCGAGGUUCGCGCAUCUGCAAGGAUGCUGGCGUAAUGGUCAUCAGCGACCCGUCUUGAAACACGGACCAAGGAGUCAAGGUUUUGCGCGAGUGUUUGGGUGUAAAACCCGCACGCGUAAUGAAAGUGAACGUAGGUGAGAGCUUCGGCGCAUCACCGACCGAUCCUGAUGUUUUCGGAUGGAUUUGAGUAGGAGCGUUAAGCCUUGGACCCGAAAGAUGGUGAACUAUGCUUGGAUAGGGUGAAGCCAGAGGAAACUCUGGUGGAGGCUCGCAGCGGUUCUGACGUGCAAAUCGAUCGUCAAAUCUGAGCAUGGGGGCGAAAGACUAAUCGAACCAUCUAGUAGCUGGUUACCGCCGAAGUUUCCCUCAGGAUAGCAGUGUUGUUCUUCAGUUUUAUGAGGUAAAGCGAAUGAUUAGGGACUCGGGGGCGCUUUUUAGCCUUCAUCCAUUCUCAAACUUUAAAUAUGUAAGAAGCCCUUGUUACUUAAUUGAACGUGGGCAUUCGAAUGUACCAACACUAGUGGGCCAUUUUUGGUAAGCAGAACUGGCGAUGCGGGAUGAACCGAACGCGGGGUUAAGGUGCCGGAGUGGACGCUCAUCAGACACCACAAAAGGCGUUAGUACAUCUUGACAGCAGGACGGUGGCCAUGGAAGUCGGAAUCCGCUAAGGACUGUGUAACAACUCACCUGCCGAAUGUACUAGCCCUGAAAAUGGAUGGCGCUCAAGCGUCCCACCCAUACCCCGCCCUCAGGGUAGAA